ACGCAUUUCCUUGAUUCUUGAUAUCAACACAAAAUAAAAUCCUUAGGACAAACGCGGCAACGCGUUCGCGCGUAAAGCGUUAACCAAUCAGAAGCGAGCUCAGAGGCGGCAUUUGCCGGCUGACGGAUGGCCGAAUGGAAUGAUUCAACUUCAACUUUUUGACGCUUGACGCGUGUGUUUCUCGAUUCAGGAGUUUUUCUCUAGCGACGAAUGAACUUCUACGAUAAACGUCACAAAAAUUCCCUGAUGAGGAAAAAUGCGUGAAUCAGCAUAGCUGAAGCCAUUGGAUAUACAGAUUCUUCUGUGGAAAAAAAUGAUGUGAUUGACAAAGCCAUUGCUUCUGUCCUUGAGACACAAGAGCACAACAACAUCGAUCACUUAAUGUUGUUUAUAUCUAAAACAGUGAAGUCUUUUCCUCCAGAAAAGCAAAGGAAGGCUUGUAGAGGUCUUGCAAAUUUUAUUUUUGAUUUAAUGGAUGACGAAUAAAUCCUAAAUACAUUCUUUA